rnacentral:lncRNA from 1 species
CUAACAUUAAAGAAGAGAAGCUAGAAAUUCUCAGCUCUCUACAACGUGUGCAGAAGCAGCUUCAGCGAAUAACUCAAAUGAAUGUUAAAAUGGAAAGUGAAUUAAACGCACUGAGAGAAGAAUAUCAGGAGGAAGAUUUGAGAAGAGAGAUGGACACUAUUAAAAAUGAGCUGAAGUCCCUUAAAGAGGUCCAAGGACAUCUUGAAGAUUGCCAUCCUCCUCAGGGAAACCAGCAUUCUGAGCAAGUAGAAAAUCUGCAGGUGGGUGAGCCCCUAGAAUGGCUGCAGUACUUUGCAUUUCUUCUUACAAAUGAGUUUAGAGAAUGAGAGACAUAAUAGUUUUUCUAGUCUGGCUUUCAGCGAUCUUCCUUUGACAUUACUUAAGCCUAAAAGUUUCUCUGAUGUAGUCAGUGAUCCAAGAUCCCAUGAAAAGAGCUUGCAUUGCUGGGUGUGCCAAGUCCACGCUCAGCUGCAUAUUCAGGAUAUGUAUGAAAAGUCAUUAAGUGGUUAAGCAUGUGGAGAUGGUCUUUUGAAGCAAAAGGAGGAGCACAUAGCACUGCAGGUAAGUGUUACCCCUUACUUAAACUGGAUUGCAAAUUUAUAUUCUAGUCUUUUAUAAGAUGGAAAAAACAAGGUUACAAGCUGUAAGAGAAAAAUUCCUUGUGUAUGGAGAAUAUUCUGUUAUUUGGCAGUCUUCUGUCUGCAUUGUUGUGCCACUCAUUUUUCCACUCAGAUAAUGGCUCAUCCUUCAAAGAAGGAAAAAGUCAUUUUGCAUCUCUACAAAUUUUCUCUUUCAGUGUUAGGGAGACAGUAGGUAACUACACUUCUUUUGUGGAGUAGGUAAAAUGUAAAAUGACAAACUGAAACUGCCUUAAAUUUUGGAAGAACUUAAGUGAAUUUCUUCACACAUUCAUUCAAACAUACACGCACAUGACUAUACACACGUCUGGAAUGCACUUAAUAAUGCUGUGGGAAUUAAACUUGACAUGCAUCUUCAUCGUGCAAUAUCUGCAUCUCUUCCCCAAAUAAAUUAAGCUGGGAGCAUAAAGAUAAACA